rnacentral:sRNA from 1 species
AUUUUUUCAAGGUCUCGAUUCCAUGGUCUUGCUAUACUGUAUUUUGGCUGAUCUCCAAAUAACAAACAUUUUUCAAUAAGCAGAAAGUCAAGGAUGGAACGUAAUUAGGUCAAAAGUGUCAGGUACAGCCAAAAACUGUGUUUUUCUCCCGGUCGUGGUGUGCAGCUAAGUGUCUACUCUUCGAAAAAAAACGAUCGCCGCCGGCGAGUCUGGUGGAUGACGAGUCUGAUCGAAUGGAGAAGGGGUCAUGGUCGAUGAUGGUUUGGUUUGAAGGUGGAUAUGAGUUAGGGUUAGUUGUUUUGAAGAAAGGAAAAACAGAGUGACCGUUGAAGAGGACGCCGAAGAUGACCGCCGCCGGCACCGGUGAUUGAAGCUUUAGCCGUCGUGGUUUGGGCGAGGCAGCGCCAUGGUGUGAUUGUGGAUGUUGCUGAUGCGGUGUACGUUAUGCAGCAAGGAGGAGAAGCUUAUCUGUUAGUAAUUAAAAAAGAAAAAAUAUAAUAAUUAAAAACAUAAUAAUAAUUAAAAAACCUGAGUAUGGCCUCUACCCAGUUUAUUCUUCUUUUUUAGACUCCUCUGUUUGCUGUUUUUAUCCUUUUGUCUUAUUUUUAGGUCGGAUUUGGUGUUUAUAUCCUUUAUAACAUGGUUUAUGUAUUUUCAAAAAUUACAUUUUUAACUUUUUAACAUUUCAUUCUUCA